rnacentral:rRNA from 1 species
ACGAACGCUGGCGGCGUGCCUAAUACAUGCAAGUAGAACGCUGAAGAGAGGAGCUUGCUCUUCUUGGAUGAGUUGCGAACGGGUGAGUAACGCGUAGGUAACCUGCCUGGUAGCGGGGGAUAACUAUUGGAAACGAUAGCUAAUACCGCAUGAUAUUAAUUAUUGCAUGAUAAUUGAUUGAAAGAUGCAAUUGCAUCACUACCAGAUGGACCUGCGUUGUAUUAGCUAGUUGGUGAGGUAACGGCUCACCAAGGCGACGAUACAUAGCCGACCUGAGAGGGUGAUCGGCCACACUGGGACUGAGACACGGCCCAGACUCCUACGGGAGGCAGCAGUAGGGAAUCUUCGGCAAUGGGGGGAACCCUGACCGAGCAACGCCGCGUGAGUGAAGAAGGUUUUCGGAUCGUAAAGCUCUGUUGUAAGAGAAGAACGGGUGUGAGAGUGGAAAGUUC